rnacentral:tRNA from 1 species
GUGAGUCUGUAGCUCAGCUGGAUAGAGCAACGGCCUUCUAAGCCGUAGGUCGAGGGUUCGAAUCCCCAGGCUCGUU